rnacentral:rRNA from 1 species
AGAGUUUGAUCAUGGCUCAGGAUGAACGCUAGCUACAGGCUUAACACAUGCAAGUCGAGGGGAAACGACAUCGAAAGCUUGCUUUUGAUGGUCGUCGACCGGCGCACGGGUGAGUAACGCGUAUCCAACCUGCCCAUCACUUGGGGAUAACCUUGCGAAAGUAAGACUAAUACCCAAUGAUAUCUCUAGAAGACAUCUGAAAGAGAUUAAAGAUUUAUCGGUGAUGGAUGGGGAUGCGUCUGAUUAGCUUGUUGGCGGGGUAACGGCCCACCAAGGCGACGAUCAGUAGGGGUUCUGAGAGGAAGGUCCCCCACAUUGGAACUGAGACACGGUCCAAACUCCUACGGGAGGCAUCA